UGGGGAAUUUUGGACAAUGGGCGAAAGCCUGAUCCAGCCAUGCCGCGUGCGGGAUGAAGGCCUUCGGGUUGUAAACUGCUUUUGUACGGAACGAAAAGACUCCUUCUAAUAAAGGGGGUACAUGACGGUACCGUAAGAAUAAGCACCGGCUAACUACGUGCCAGCAGCCGCGGUAAUACGUAGGGUGCGAGCGUUGAUCGGAAUUACUGGGCGUAAAGCGUGCGCAGGCGGUUAUAUAAGACAGUUGUGAAAUCCCCGGGCUCAACCUGGGAACUGCAUCUGUGACUGUAUAGCUAGAGUACGGUAGAGGGGGAUGGAAUUCCGCGUGUAGCAGUGAAAUGCGUAGAUAUGCGGAGGAACACCGAUGGCGAAGGCAAUCCCCUGGACCUGUACUGACGCUCAUGCACGAAAGCGUGGGGAGCAAACA
rnacentral:rRNA from 1 species